GCGACUGUGGCUCAGUGAGAAGAGUAGUUGUCUUGCAAUCCUAAAGUUGUGGGUUCGAUUCCUAUCGGUGUAUGAAUGUGCGCA